UCUCUGUCUCUCUUUCGAUCUGUCUCUGUUUCUUGGUCUCUCUCUUCUCUUCUCUCCUCUUCUCUUCUCUUCUCUUCUCUUCUCUUCUUCUCCUCUCUCUCAUCUCACAAUGUAGCCCUGGCUGACCUGGAACUCACUAUUUAGACAAAGCUGGCCUUGAGCUCACAGGGGUUCUGCAUCCCAAAUGCAUUUCUUAACUUGCUAGAAAGUCUGAUGGCUUGACCACUUGAAGCCCCAAAGGUCUCACUCAGUGAGACAUUUCCUUCAACAAGGCAAACCUCCUAAUCCUUAAGUAGUGCCACGACCUAAUGACUAAACAUUAAAAUAUAUGAACCUAUUGGGGCCAUUCACCAGCACUGUAUAAAAAGUAUGUUUAUAUAAUGGAGGAAUUCGGUUGUUAUUUUUCAAUUUAUCAAAAGUCUUGAGUAUCAAAAAAAAAAAAAAAAAAAAGGAGUGUGUCUUAGUUAGGGUUUCUAUUCCUGAACAAACAUCAUGACCAAGAAGCAAGUUGGGGAGGAAAGGAUUUAUUCAGCUUACACUUUCCACAUUGCUGUUCAUCACCAAAGGAAGUCAGGACUGGAAUUCAAGCAGGUCAGGAAGCAGGAGCUGAUGCAGAGGCCAUGGAGGGAUGUUCUUUACUGGCUUUCUUCCCCUGGCUUGCUCAGCUUGCUUUCUUAUACAACCCAGGACUACCAGCCCAGGGAUGGCACCACUCACAGUGGGCCCUCUCCCUUGAUCACUUAUUGAUCCUUACAGCUGGAUCUCAUGGAGGCAUUUCCUCAAGGGAGGCUCCUUUGUCUGUGAUAACUCCAGCUUGGGUCAAGUGGACACACAAAACCAGUCAGUACCGAGAGUGAUUUCUGCCUCACAGUCAAGGUCAUCACUGAGUAGGUCUUAGCUAUGGAGUUAUAGAGGGAGGUUUGGUAUAGAACUGUGACUGGGGUGGGGAUGGUGUGCAGAGG
rnacentral:lncRNA from 1 species